rnacentral:rRNA from 1 species
GGGUAACCUGCCCAAGAGAUCGGGAUAACACCUGGAAACAGAUGCUAAUACCGGAUAACAACAGAUGAUGCCUAUCAACUGUUUAAAAGAUGGUUCUGCUAUCACUCUUGGAUGGACCUGCGGUGCAUUAGCUAGUUGGUAGGGUAACGGCCUACCAAGGCGAUGAUGCAUAGCCGAGUUGAGAGACUGAUCGGCCACAUUGGGACUGAGACACGGCCCAAACUCCUACGGGAGGCAGCAGU